ACAGUUUUAGCAGACCGAUUUUACGGUCCGCUCGCGUCCCGCUCAUCCGCUUGGCCUUAGCGGAGCGACAACGCGCUAUUCGUGUUUUAGCUAACCGUGUCUCCGGCGCGGUCGAGCGGAGGCCUAUCUCUUGGCUUGCAGCGCCAUCUGGCAAUUUCGCCCAAUACUGCGUUAAAAAAGAAACGCAAUAAUUUUGUUUCUUUUUACUACAGUAAUGCGAAGGCUUUAUUGAAAUAGCGUUAAUUAAUUUAUUUUUGUGUUUUUGUUGCGGAAACUUGACGCGUGACCAUUUUUUUCAUAAACGCGCCCCUUGGCUUGGCUGCAAGCUACAAUUAUCCAAUCCAGAGUGCCUGGUGCCCUGUGAUUUUCUGCAGCUGCCGUCCUGUGAUCCUCUUCGAAUUUUUUUGCAAACGUGCUACGUACGUCAUCCGAACAAGAAUGCAGAGUGUGUUGCAAGACCCCUUUCUUCUCUCACAACUGCGGUGGAGAGACAUCGAGGACCUGCUUGUAACAGAAGUGUUUUCGGUGAAGCGGCGUGAACCCCUUUCGGCUAGUGGGCUUCUGAACAUCGAUCUUAUGAAUGCUGGCGUGUUUCGCACAUACUUUCGAUUCGAAAAAAACGAUAUAGGCAGGUUGAAGACCGCUUUGCUGAUACCGGACACCAUUUACACUGCUCAGAGGAUAACUGUGUCGGGAGAAGAGGCACUUUGCAUAACUUUGCGCAGGCUUGCGUACCCGAACAGGUUGAGUGAUCUGGAGAGCCUUUUUGGGAGGCACUACUCUGUGAUUUCAGUGGUGACUAACCAUGUGCUUGGGCACAUAGAAAACAACUUUGGGCACCUUCUCCGCGACGUCAACAACCACAAGUGGCUGGAUCUCGCUGCCUUGCAAGAAUUCUCACACGCCAUUCAUUCAAAGGGAGCGCCCCUCACCAACUGCUGGGGAUUCAUUGAUGGCACGGCACGCCCUAUAUGCCGGCCUUCACAAAACCAGAAAAUAUUUUUUUCUGGGCCAAGCGCACCCAUGCCGUCAAGUACCAAUCUAUAAUGUGCCCUAAUGGAAUCAUUGCCCAGCUGAGGGCACCGUACUAUGGCAGUCGACACGAUUCAGGCAUACUGCGAAGAAGCAACACCUACCCGCAGCUGGAGAGGCUUGUGAAGAGGCACCAUUAUUGCCUCUACGGUGAUCCAGCAUAUCCCUUGAGGCCCCUUUUUCUGAAGCCGUACGGUGGCACUUGUCUCACUGAUGCGCAGCAAGCUUUUAACAAAUCCAUGAGUUCGGUGAGACAGGCCGUCGAGUGGGGCUUUGGAAAAAUUGUCGGGCUGUUUGCAUUUGUUGAUUUAAAAAAAAACCAGAAAGUAUUUGUCCAAAAUGUACCUCGCAUGUACAAAGUGACCGGCAUACUUUCAAACCGCCACACCUGUGUAUAUGGUUCACAGGUUUCUGAAUACUUUGGUGUAGCGCCUCCGUGUCUGGGGGACUAUCUCACAUGCAAAGAAUAAUAAAGUGUCUGUGUGUCACACAACAUGUGUGAACUCAAAAAAUAUUGCACUUGAUUCGUUCAUACAAAUCUGCACAGUACAACCA